rnacentral:rRNA from 1 species
GACGAACGCUGGCGGCGUGCUUAACACAUGCAAGUCGAACGGUGAAGCGCCUUCCUUUUUGGUGGGUGUGGAUGAGUGGCGAACGGGUGAGUAACACGUGAGUAACCUGCCCCCUUCUUCUGGAUAACCGCAUGAAAGUGUGGCUAAUACGGGAUAUUCUGGGUCUGUCGCAUGAUGGGUCUGGGAAAGAUAUUGUUUCGGUGGGGGAUGGUCUCGCGGCCUAUCAGCUUGUUGGUGGGGUGAUGGCCUACCAAGGCGGUGACGGGUAGCCGGCCUGAGAGGGUGGACGGUCACACUGGGACUGAGACACGGCCCAGACUCCUACGGGAGGCAGCAGUGGGGAAUAUUGAACAAUGGGCGCAAGCCUGAUGCAGCGACGCCGCGUGAGGGAUGGAGGCCUUCGGGUUGUGAACCUCUUUCGCCAGUGAAGCAGGCCUGCCUCGUUUGUGGGUGGGUUGACGGUAGCUGGAUAAGAAGCGCCGGCUAACUACGUG